UACGAACUGUGCGAACGUUAUUCGGAAUUACUGGGCUUAAAGGGUGCGUAGGUGGCCGGUCAAGUCAGGUGUGAAAUCCCUCAGCUCAACUGAGGAACUGCGCUUGAAACUGUUUGGCUAGAGUGAGCUAGGGGUGCUUGGAACUGCCAGUGUAGCGGUGAAAUUCGUAGAUAUUCGGAAGAACACCAGUGGCGAAGGCGACUCACUGGACAUGUAUUGACGCUGAGGAGCGAAAGCGUGGGGAGCGAACAGG
rnacentral:rRNA from 1 species